rnacentral:rRNA from 11 species
UCACUGGUCAAGUGAUUCCGCGCCGAUAAUGUAGCGGGGCUUAAGUUAUCCGCCGAAGCUGUGGCAACCUGUGUGGUUGGGUAGGGGAGCGUCGUGUCAGUGGUGAAGCUGCCGGGUGACUGUGUGGUGGAGUUGAUGCGAGUGAGAAUGCAGGCAUGAGUAGCGUGUGACGGGUGGGAAUCCCGUCCGCCGAUUAUCCAAGGGUUCCAGGGUCAAGUUUGUCUGCCCUGGGUGAGUCGGGUCCUAAGGCGAGGCCGACAGGCGUAGUCGAUGGGUAACCAGUUGAUAUUCUGGUACCGGCGAAGCAACGCCCGUGCCGAGGCCAGUGAUACUAAGCACGCGAGGCCACCUGUUGGUCCUUCGGGAUCAUGGGUGGUUGAGUCUGUGACCUGAUCUGGUAGUAGGCAAGCUGCGGAGGGACGCAGGAAGGUAGCCCAUCCCACGCGAUGGUUGUCGUGGGCUAAGAGUGUAGGCCGGCGUGUUGGCAAAUCCGCACGCCUUGUGGUUGAGACUUGAUGGCACUGCCACGCAUGUGGUGGUGUGGGUGAUCCUAUGCUGCCUAGAAAAGCUUCGUGAGCGAGUUGUGAGCCGCCCGUACCCCAAACCGACACUGGUGGAUAGGUAGAGAAUACCAAGGCGAUCGAGAGAAUCGUGGUGAAGGAACUCGGCAAAAUACCCCCGUAACUUCGGGAUAAGGGGGACCUGAUCCGUGACCGCCCUUUGCGGUGGGUAGCGGUGAUGGUCGCAGAGACCAGGCCCAAGCGACUGUUUACUAAAAACACAGGUCCGUGCCAAGUUGUAAGACGAUGUAUACGGACUGACUCCUGCCCGGUGCUGGAAGGUUAAGGGGGGAACUUAGUGAGGGUAACCUUGCGAAGGUUUGAACUGAAGCCCCAGUAAACGGCGGCCGUAACUAUAACGGUCCUAAGGUAGCGA